UUCCCAUCUGUUUUUAUCAGAGGUCUCUGUGUUCAACUUGAAUCCUUCCUCAUUACCCUUGUAAAUCCUACAACUCCCUUGUAGGACUGUGGAGUUCAUGCUUUUCUUACUGGAGGAGAAAUGGGGUUUCAUCCACAUAUCCAUUUCCUAAAACCAGAAGGACUCCUCUGCAUCUUUUGCGCCAUGUCUCUGUACAGUCUGAAGUUGACCCAGACUCAUCCCUUCUGCAGUGCUUCUCCACAUGCCUGAUUUUUAUCAUAGAUGUUAUUCAUAGAAAUGUCAUCACCAAUGCUUUAAAAGUGCAGAUGGCUGUUUAAUGCUAGCUGAGAGAGUUACCAGGCAAGCAGUGACUCUACUUCAGCCAUGGUGGUGAUGAUGUCAAACUUUCUCCAACUAAUGAGUCAUUAAAAGUAGUAAUAAAGGGGUUUGUUGGGGC